rnacentral:rRNA from 1 species
AGAGUUUGAUNUGGCUCAGAGCGAACGCUGGCGGCAGGCCUAACACAUGCAAGUCGAACGGACCCUUCGGGGUUAGUGGCGGACGGGUGAGUAACACGUGGGAACGUGCCUUUAGGUUCGGAAUAGCUCCUGGAAACGGGUGGUAAUGCCGAAUGUGCCCUUCGGGGGAAAGAUUUAUCGCCUUUAGAGCGGCCCGCGUCUGAUUAGCUAGUUGGUGGGGUAAUGGCCCACCAAGGCUACGAUCAGUAGCUGGUCUGAGAGGAUGACCAGCCACAUUGGGACUGAGACACGGCCCAAACUCCUACGGGAGGCAGCAGUGGGGAAUCUUGCGCAAUGGGCGAAAGCCUGACGCAGCCAUGCCGCGUGUAUGAUGAAGGUCUUAGGAUUGUAAAAUACUUUCACCGGUGAAGAUAAUGACUGUAGCCGGAGAAGAAGCCCCGGCUAACUUCGUGCCAGCAGCCGCGGUAAUACGAAGGGGGCUAGCGUUGCUCGGAAUUACUGGGCGUAAAGGGAGCGUAGGCGGACAUUUAAGUCAGAGGUGAAAUCCCGGAGCUUAACUUCGGAACUGCCUUUGAUACUGGGUGUCUUGAGUGUGAGAGAGGUAUGUGGAACUCCGAGUGUAGAGGUGAAAUUCGUAGAUAUUCGGAAGAACACCAGUGGCGAANGCGACAUACUGGCUCAUUACUGACGCUGANGCUCGAAAGCGUGGGGAGCAAACAGGAUUAGAUACCCUGGUAGUCCACGCCGUAAACGAUGAUUGCUAGUUGUCGGGAAGCUUGCUUCUCGGUGACGCAGCUAA